ensembl:snRNA U4 U4 spliceosomal RNA
AGCUUUGCGCAGUGGCAGUAUCGUAGCCAAUGAAGUUUAUCUGAGAUGUGAUUAUUGCCAAUUGAAAGCUUCUCCCAGUACCCUGCCAUGACAACUCGCAGUAUAGUUGACACUGGCAAUCUUUUAUAGUCUCUAUGGAGA